rnacentral:rRNA from 1 species
UACGUAGGGUGCGAGCGUUAAUCGGAAUUACUGGGCGUAAAGCGUGCGCAGGCGGUUCGUUAAGUCAGGUGUGAAAGCCCCGGGCUCAACCUGGGAAUUGCAUUUGAGACUGAAUAGCUAGGGUGCGGAAGAGGGAAGCGGAAUUUCCGGUGUAGCGGUGAAAUGCGUAGAUAUCGGAAGGAACACCAGUGGCGAAAGCGGCUUCCUGGUCCAGCACCGACGUUCAGGCACGAAAGCGUGGGGAGCAAACAGGAUUGAGAAACCCUA